CCUAAAAAAACAAGAUAUUAAAACAAGCAAAGAAAAGAAAAUAAUAAGAAAAGAGAGAUAGGGGGUAUGAGGCAGAAAUAGGGUGUAAAGAGAAAUGGUGUUGUGCCCAUCUGAAAACUCGUGUUGGUCUUUCCCUAAUGUCAUAAUCAGGUUGGGGGUAUGACACAGAAUACAGGGUGCACACAGAGCAAUUAUAUGGGCCAAGAGUGCCCCAAGUCCAAUUUUCCUUGCGUAAAUUGAGGGGGGGUGUUAAGUGAACUUGGGUGCAGAAAGAAACCUACAUGGGCCAAGGGCCAUGAGGCCCACGCUAAAAACACAUGAGAGGGGGAUGCGCUCAGAUCCAAACACACUACACGUUCAGAUGAACUUCAUCUCCUUUCACCUUGGCCGAAAAAUAUAAUCUCCGCCACGCUGGAAAUCGCCUCCGGGGACGGAGGGCCAAACCCUUCGAAUCUUAUACCAACUUCUUCGUCUCAUCACCCUCUACCCUAAUCCAGUAUUGACUUCUUUUGAUUCAUACCAUAACAACCAAACCGAACCAAAAAUAUUCAAGAACUCUAACUCCUAAUUCAAAAAUUAAAUACCACUGAGGCACUAUUUGGAGCUCAAACCAUAUGGGUUUGACUCCCUACGCAAUGAGAUACAUUGUUGUAACCUUGAUUCAAUGAAAACGAGUGGAAGACGAGAACCCUACCUUCGAGGAUGAACUUUCCCUCUACACAGUUGGAGUUCAUGGAGAAUGAAGAUGAAGACGAUAAAACUCUCUUAGGGCUGGUUUUAGAGGAAGACAAACAAACAUUUGGCAAGUCAUUUUGAGCAACAUCAAGACCUAUGAAGAAGGCCUUGAACACAUCAAGAUUUAUGCAGGAUUUGAGGGCUUUAGAGGGAUACUUGUAAAUGAAGAAAAAUGGAAUGUAAUUAGGGUUAAGACUUAGUGGUUAGGAAGUUGACUUUGGUCAACUAGUUGACCAAAAAGUUAACAGUUGAUCAAAGUCAACUAUAGGUCAACAAAUGCAUUUUUGUAGGUUUUGACUUUUGUAAAGAUUUGUGGUGUAUUUCUAAAUGGAUGUUGUAUGGUUUGUUUUGUAAUGAAGAUGACUUGAAUGAAUGUAACUUGUUUUCCAAGUAA